AGCAGCCGCGGUAAUUCCAGCUCCAAUAGCGUAUAUUAAAGUUGUUGCAGUUAAAAAGCUCGUAGUUGAAUUUCGGGAUCAAUAUGUCGGUCGUGCCUUCGGUACGUACUGGCAUCAUUGAUUUCUCCCUUCUGACGAACCACGAUGUCAUUAAUUUGGUGUCAUGGGGAGUCAGGACUGUUACUUUGAAAAAUUAGAGUGUUUGAAGCAGGCUCACGCUUGAAUACAUUAGCAUGGAAUAAUGAAAUAGGACGUUUGACCCUAUUUUGUUGGUUUCUAGGAUCAACGUAAUGAUUAAUAGGGAUAGUUGGGGGCAUUAGUAUUCAAUUGUCAGAGGUGAAAUUCUUGGAUUUAUUGAAGACUAACUACUGCGAAAGCAUUUGCCAAGGAUGUUUUCAUUAAUCAAGAACGAAAGUUAGGGGAUCGAAGACGAUCAGAUACCGUCGUAGU
rnacentral:rRNA from 1 species